rnacentral:rRNA from 1 species
UACGUAGGGUGCGAGCGUUAAUCGGAUUUACUGGGCGUAAAGCGUGCGCAGGCGGCCCGUUAAGACAGGUGUGAAAUCCCUGGGCUCAACCUAGGAAUUGCGCUUGUGACUGGCGGGCUCGAGUACGGUAGAGGGGGGUGGAAUUCCUGGUGUAGCAGUGAAAUGCGUAGAGAUCAGGUGGAACACCGAUGGCGAAGGCAGCCCCCUGGGCCUGUACUGACGCUCAUGCACGAAAGCGUGGGGAGCAAACAGG